rnacentral:tRNA from 1 species
GCGGGGGUACCCAAGCGGUCAAAGGGGCUAGCCUAAGGAGCUAGUGGCUUAGUACAUUUCCGGCGAAAGCCGGUUGUGUGAGACGCCUUCCUGGGUUCGAAUCCCAGCCCCCGCA